AAUGUUCUGAUGGUUAAAUCAGCAGUAGUUUGUUUAAAAGGAUCUUCAUAUAAUAAAGACAUAGCUUCAAAGAACUCAUCUAAUGAAUCUAAUAUGGGAUCAUCAUUUUCCAAAAAGGAAUGGGCCCAGGCCAUAGGUUCACCUCUUAAAAAAGAGAUCACUGAACAGACUUUGGAUCUUUCGGUGGGAUAAGAUCUAGGUUUUAAAGCAAUUAGUAGUUUGCAAGAAUUCAAAAACUCUCUGUACUUUGUUCUAUCUCCA